GGGAAACCGUAGCUAAUACCGGAUAAUAUAUUGAACCGCAUGGUUCAAUGUUAAAGACGGUUUUGCUGUCACUUAUAGAUGGAUCCGCGCCGCAUUAGCUAGUUGGUAAGGUAACGGCUUACCAAGGCGACGAUGCGUAGCCGACCUGAGAGGGUGAUUGGCCACACUGGAACUGAGACACGGUCCAG
rnacentral:rRNA from 1 species